GCUCAGAACGAACGCUGGCGGCAGGCCUAACACAUGCAAGUCGAGCGCAGUCCUUCGGGACCGAGCGGCGGACGGGUUAGUAACGCGUGGGAACAUACCCUUUUCUACGGAAUAGCCUCGGGAAACUGAGAGUAAUACCGUAUAAGCCCUUCGGGGGAAAGAUUUAUCGGGAAAGGAUUGGCCCGCGUUAGAUUAGAUAGUUGGUGGGGUAAUGGCCUACCAAGUCUACGAUCUAUAGCUGGUUUUAGAGGAUGAUCAGCAACACUGGGACUGAGACACGGCCCAGACUCCUACGGGAGGCAGCAGUGGGGAAUCUUAGACAAUGGGCGCAAGCCUGAUCUAGCCAUGCCGCGUGUGUGAUGAAGGUCUUAGGAUCGUAAAGCACUUUCGCCAGGGAUGAUAAUGACAGUACCUGGUAAAGAAACCCCGGCUAACUCCGUGCCAGCAGCCGCGGUAAUACGGAGGGGGUUAGCGUUGUUCGGAAUUACUGGGCGUAAAGCGUACGUAGGCGGAUCAGAAAGUAGGGGGUGAAAUCCCAGGGCUCAACCCUGGAACUGCCUCCUAAACUCCUGGUCUUGAGUUCGAGAGAGGUGAGUGGAAUUCCAAGUGUAGAGGUGAAAUUCGUAGAUAUUUGGAGGAACACCAGUGGCGAAGGCGGCUCACUGGCUCGAUACUGACGCUGAGGUACGAAAGUGUGGGGAGCAAACAGGAUUAGAUACCCUGGUAGUCCACACCGUAAACGAUGAAUGCCAGUCGUCGGGCAGUAUACUGUUCGGUGACACACCUAACGGAUUAAGCAUCCGC
rnacentral:rRNA from 1 species